rnacentral:rRNA from 1 species
UACGAGGGGUGCAAGCGUUGUUCGGAAUUAUUGGGCGUAAAGGGCAGGUAGGUGGUCCCAAAAGUCUACUGUGAAAUCCCCAGGCUCAACCUGGGAACUGCAUCCGAUACUGGAUGGCUUGAAUUCGGGAGAGGGAUGCAGAAUUCCAGGUGUAGCGGUGAAAUGCGUAGAUAUCUGGAGGAAUACCAGUGGCGAAGGCGGCAUCCUGGACCGACAUUGACGCUGAGGAGCGAAAGCCAGGGGAGCAAACGGG